rnacentral:tRNA from 1 species
GCCGGGAUAGCUCAGCUGGUAGAGCGGCGGUAUCGUAAACCGUAGGUCGGGGGUUCGAAUCCCCCUCUCGGCU